UUGAAAAUCACUCCGAAACCUGUUCCGGAGACAUAUUCUAAGACUACGUAAACACUCGGUAUUGUUUUUCAGUGACAUUUUGACAUUAAUUUGCAUCAAUCUCAAUAAUGAACCUAAUUCCUGUCUUUAUUUCAUCUGUAUUUAUUGCUAUUGUUUACUUUUAGCCUUUUACUAUUUAAAAUGUAAUGUGUGUUGUUUUUCCAUGCAAGCAAUUUUGGACCGACACUGCUAUCUGCCUUCGCUUUCAAUCCCGCCAGGCAGAUCUACUCAGAAUAACACUACUUUGCCUUAUUUUUCCUGUUUGGAUAUCUUGCUGAGUUCAAGUUAAAUCAAGUAUUCAGCUGAAAACACAAAAAGGAUAAUAAUAUUAUGCUUUCUUUCUUGGAACGAUGUUGUUGUGAUAGACCGUGCGUGAAAAACAGCAGGGAAUCUGUAUUUAAGUGACCUCAAUAUUAUACGUAAACCUAAAUGUACAUUUUUAGGUGGUGUCGGAAUUAGUCUAUAGCUCUGCCUGAACUGCUGUCCAAUUGGUUUACAAGUCCGGCUGAAAUGACAGGCCAUCAAAAACUGCACAGUAUGACUGAUUCGGAGACGGCCCUCAACACUCGCCCAGUCGUGUCGAGAGGAUCGGUGUCUUUGCAGAUUACACGGAAUUGAGCACCCGGGCCAGACUGACACUUUCCGAAGGCUGUCCGAGACGGAACUCGCGCCGAGGAAUCAUAGGUCCAGGUGGUGUCGGAAUUAGUCUAUAGCUCUGCCUGAACUGCUGUCCAAUUGGUUUACAAGUCCGGCUGAAAUGACAGGCCAUCAAAAACUGCACAGUAUGACUGAUUCGGAGACGGCCCUCAACACUCGCCCAGUCGUGUCGAGAGGAUCGGUGUCUUUGCAGAUUACACGGAAUUGAGCACCCGGGCCAGACUGACACUUUCCGAAGGCUGUCCGAGACGGAACUCGCGCCGAGGAAUCAUAGGUGCAGGUGUGACAGAAAACUUAAAGCUCAUGUCGGACGAUGACUUUUUUUGUGUCAGGAAGUAAAGUGUGUUGUUUUCCCAUGCAAGCAAGCCCUUUUGUUGGGUCAAAUGACAUCAGAAAUGCUGCUGCAACAUGGAUUUUACCUAAAAUGUGCCAAAGAAUAUAUAAAAAGUUUGUUCGGAUCUUGUUCAAAACCUGCUAUGAUGCACAUAUAAUGCCAUUGAUGAUUUGUUUUCACUUAUUAAGUCAUAUGUUACAUCUGCUAUGAUAUUAGAAUCGAAAGUGAUGCCUUGUAUGGAGUCUAAGUGCUGUCUGUAUGAUGUAACCAAGGUCGGCUUUUCUACCUUAAUUCUUGACGCGAAACGCUGUUACGCGUGACGCUUUCAACGUCAACUUUAAUGAAUAAAUCUGUGUGUCAUGGUACUGGAACUUUGUGAUCUUUUUUAAAACAGAUUAUACCUAUGGAAAAAGUGCCUUUAAUUCAAAUUUGAAGGGGUUGGGUUCCCUUAUAGGUUACAUUAUCCUAAACGGAAGUGGAAUUUGGGGGGUUACAUGCAGUCGGUUUGCUACUAAGUACAUAUGAUGCAGGUCCUGGUGCAUAAGAUUUUAAAAAUGUAUCUGAAAUGAAGAG